ACUUCUGGUCCUCCAGACGCCCUUGACCCAGAUCACUCAUAGGCAGAAUUCCAGUCGUGGGAGAUCCAGGGAUGGAUAGAAGUGUUUCCGGUCUCCAGAGAAACAGCAGAUGUGAUGGCUAGGAUCAUGGAGCUCGUGUAGUCAGAAGCUCUCAACACCUCCUGGACAAUGGGACUCAUCAAACAUCAACUAACCAAGCUCUCCACUGAACUCAGACACCCGCCUUCUCAUCUCGCCCAAGGAACAGAUGCCGGCGUAUCCAAAAUGACAGCUGACAGGAUGCCUUUCCAGCCACACCUCUCACUGAACGUGGACACCUAGCUCUCCUCUUCCCCAUGCCACCCCUUGCCCGCAGGAAGUAGCCAGAUUUGAGUCUAUGCCCUUUUUACAACGAGAGCCUAAAUGUUUGUCAUAAUUACCACUCCAAUUUUCUGUCACCCCUAUAUCCAAAGAGUCUGGAAUGUCAGGUUGGGAGCAUAGGCUCCUUGCAUCUAUCCCAGUCCCCAGACCUGGUCUGGACUCCAAAUCCCAGCAGGCCAGGUCCUGACCCCUCUCUGGGGGUGGGGUUAGGACCCCUUUUCCCCAGGAUAUUUAAAUGAGUUCCCAAAAGAGGAACACAUGGUCUCCUCUCUGUGUCUUUCUCCUGGUGGUCAUGU